rnacentral:rRNA from 2 species
GUAAGUUCCGACCUGCACGAAUGGCGUAAUGAUGGCCAGGCUGUCUCCACCCGAGACUCAGUGAAAUUGAACUCGCUGUGAAGAUGCAGUGUACCCGCGGCAAGACGGAAAGACCCCGUGAACCUUUACUAUAGCUUGACACUGAACAUUGAGCCUUGAUGUGUAGGAUAGGUGGGAGGCUUUGAAGUGUGGACGCCAGUCUGCAUGGAGCCGACCUUGAAAUACCACCCUUUAAUGUUUGAUGUUCUAACGUGGACCCGUAAUCCGGGUUGCGGACAGUGUCUGGUGGGUAGUUUGACUGGGGCGGUCUCCUCCUAAAGAGUAACGGAGGAGCACGAAGGUUGGCUAAUCCUGGUCGGACAUCAGGAGGUUAGUGCAAUGGCAUAAGCCAGCUUGACUGCGAGCGUGACGGCGCGAGCAGGUGCGAAAGCAGGUCAUAGUGAUCCGGUGGUUCUGAAUGGAAGGGCCAUCGCUCAACGGAUAAAAGGUACUCCGGGGAUAACAGGCUGAUACCGCCCAAGAGUUCAUAUCGACGGCGGUGUUUGGCACCUCGAUGUCGGCUCAUCACAUCCUGGGGCUGAAGUAGGUCCCAAGGGUAUGGCUGUUCGCCAUUUAAAGUGGUACGCGAGCUGGGUUUAGAACGUCGUGAGACAGUUCGGUCCCUAUCUGCCGUGGGCGCUGGAGAACUGAGGGGGGCUGCUCCUAGUACGAGAGGACCGGAGUGGACGCAUCACUGGUGUUCGGGUUGUCAUGCCAAUGGCACUGCCCGGUAGCUAAAUGCGGAAGAGAUAAGUGCUGAAAGCAUCUAAGCACGAAACUUGCCCCGA